rnacentral:piRNA from 1 species
UAGGCUCUAGGGUGUUUUCAUCCUAA